rnacentral:rRNA from 1 species
GAUGAACGCUGGCGGCGUGCCUAAUACAUGCAAGUCGAGCGAACGGACGAGAAGCUUGCUUCUCUGAUGUUAGCGGCGGACGGGUGAGUAACACGUGGAUAACCUACCUAUAAGACUGGGAUAACUUCGGGAAACCGUAGCUAAUACCGGAUAAUAUUUUGAACCGCAUGGUUCAAAAGUGAGAGACGGUCUUGCUGUCACUUAUAGAUGGAUCCGCGCUGCAUUAGCUAGUUGGUAAGGUAACGGCUUACCAAGGCAACGAUGCAUAGCCGACCUGAGAGGGUGAUCGGCCACACUGGAACUGAGACACGGUCCAGACUCCUACGGGAGGCAGCAGUAGGGAAUCUUCCGCAAAGGGCGAAAGCCUGACGGAGCAACGCCGCGUGAGUGAUGAAGGUCUUCGGAUCGUAAAACUCUGUUAUUAGGGAAGAACAUAUGUGUAAGUAACUGUGCACAUCUUGACGGUACCUAAUCAGAAAGCCACGGCUAACUACGUG